UACGGAGGGUGCGAGCGUUGUCCGGAAUCAUUGGGCGUAAAGGGCGCGUAGGUGGCCUGGUAAGCGUGCGGUGAAAGCCUGGGGCUCAACCCCGGGUCUGCCGUGCGAACUGCUAGGCUUGAGCUCUGUAGAGGCAGGCGGAAUUCCGGGUGUAGCGGUGGAAUGCGUAGAGAUCCGGAAGAACACCGGUGGCGAAGGCGGCCUGCUGGGCAGUUGCUGACACUGAGGCGCGACAGCGUGGGGAGCAAACAGG
rnacentral:rRNA from 1 species